GAUGAACGCUGGCGGCGUGCCUAAUACAUGCAAGUCGAGCGAACGGACGAGAAGCUUGCUUCUCUGAUGCUAGCGGCGGACGGGUGAGUAACACGUGGAUAACCUACCUAUAAGACUGGGAUAACUUCGGGAAACCGGAGCUAAUACCGGAUGAUAUUUUGAACCGCAUGGUUCAAAAGUGAAAGACGGUCUUGCUGUCACUUAUAGAUGGAUCCGCGCUGCAUUAGCUAGUUGGUAAGGUAACGGCUUACCAAGGCAACGAUGCGUAGCCGACCUGAGAGGGUGAUCGGCCACACUGGAACUGAGACACGGUCCAGACUCCUACGGGAGGCAGCAGUAGGGAAUCUUCCACAAUGGGCGAAAGCCUGACGGAGCAACGCCGCGUGAGUGAUGAAGGUCUUCGGAUCGUAAAACUCUGUUAUUGGGGAAGAACAGAUGUGUAAGUAACUGUGCACAUCUUGACGGUACCUAAUCAGAAAGCCCCGGCUAACUACGUG
rnacentral:rRNA from 1 species